rnacentral:rRNA from 1 species
GGAACGCUCUGGGAAGUGCGAACGUAGAGGGUGAUAUUCCCGUACACGAAAGGGCACACAUAAUGAUGACGAGUAGGGCGAGGCACGUGAAACCUUGUCUGAAUAUGGGGGGACCAUCCUCCAAGGCUAAAUACUCCUGACUGACCGAUAGUGAACCAGUACCGUGAGGGAAAGGCGAAAAGAACCCCUGUGAGGGGAGUGAAAUAGAUCCUGAAACCGCAUGCAUACAAGCAGUGGGAGCACCUUCGUGGUGUGACUGCGUACCUUUUGUAUAAUGGGUCAGCGACUUAUAUUCAGUAGCAAGGUUAACCGUAUAGGGGAGCCGUAGAGAAAUCGAGUCUUAAUAGGGCGUUUAGUUGCUGGGUAUAGACCCGAAACCAGGCGAUCUAUCCAUGAGCAGGUUGAAGGUUGGGUAACACUAACUGGAGGACCGAACCCACUGUCGUUGAAAAGCCAGGGGAUGACUUGUGGAUAGGGGUGAAAGGCUAAUCAAGCCUGGUGAUAGCUGGUUCUCCCCGAAAGCUAUUUAGGUAGCGCCUCGGACGAAUACCAUAGGGGGUAGAGCACUGUUUCGGCUAGGGGGUCAUCCCGACUUACCAAACCGAUGCAAACUCCGAAUACCUAUGAGUACUAUCCGGGAGACAGACUGCGGGUGCUAACGUCCGUAGUCAAGAGGAAAACAAUCCAGACCGCCAGCUAAGGCCCCAAAAUCAUAGUUAAGUGGGAAACGAUGUGGGAAGGCAUAGACAGCUAGGAGGUUGGCUUAGAAGCAGCCACCCUUUAAAGAAAGCGUAAUAGCUCACUAGUCGAGUCGGCCUGCGCGGAAGAUGUAACGGGGCUAAAACUAUGUGCCGAAGCUGCGGAUGUAUACUUUGUAUACGUGGUAGGGGAGCGUUCUGUAAGCCGAUGAAGGUGUGUUGAGAAGCAUGCUGGAGGUAUCAGAAGUGCGAAUGCUGACGUGAGUAACGACAAAACGGGUGAAAAACCCGUUCGCCGAAAGACCAAGGGUUCCAGUCCAACGUUAAUCGGGGCUGGGUGAGUCGACCCCUAAGGCGAGGCCGAAAGGCGUAGUCGAUGGGAAAAUGGUUAAUAUUCCAUUACUUCUGUGUAAUGCGAUGAGAGGACGGAGAAGGCUAAAUCAGCCUGGCGUUGGUUGUCCAGGUGAAAGGAUGUAGGCAUGUAUCUUAGGCAAAUCCGGGGUACUCUAUGCUGAGAUCUGAUAGCAAGCUGUACUUGUACAGCGAAGUGGUUGAUGCCAUGCUUCCAGGAAAAGUCUCUAAGCUUCAGUUACACAGGAAUCGUACCCGAAACCGACACAGGUGGUCAGGUCGAGUAGACCAAGGCGCUUGAGAGAACUCUGCUGAAGGAACUAGGCAAAAUGGUACCGUAACUUCGGGAGAAGGUACGCUGUUGUUGGUGAUGGAACUCGCUUCCUGAGCUGACGACAGCCGCAGAAACCAGGCCGCUGCAACUGUUUAUUAAAAACAUAGCACUCUGCAAACAC